UACGGGGGGAGCAAGCGUUGUUCGGAUUUACUGGGCGUAGAGGGCGCGUAGGCGGCCACCGCAAGUCGGUUGUGAAAUCUCCGGGCUUAACCCGGAAAGGUCAAUCGAUACUGCGGGGCUAGAGUGCAGAAGGGGCAACUGGAAUUCUCGGUGUAGCGGUGAAAUGCGUAGAUAUCGAGAGGAACACCUGCGGCGAAGGCGGGUUGCUGGGCUGACACUGACGCUGAAGCGCGAAAGCUAGGGGAGCGAACGGG
rnacentral:rRNA from 1 species